ensembl:lncRNA
ACAACAACCACCACCACAACUACAACCCACCACCAACAACCACCACAACUACAACCCACCAACAACAACCACCCACAACAACAACACCACCAACAACCACCACCACCACCAACAACCACAACUACAAACCACCACCAACCACCAACAACAACAACCACCAACAACAACAACAACAACCACCACCAACCACAACCACCAACAACAACAACCACAACAACAACCACCAACACCAACAACCAACAACAACAACCACCACCACCACCAACAACAACCACCAACAACCACCAACAACAACAACAACCACAACCCACCACCAACAACCACAACCCACCACCAACAACAACCAACCACCACCAACAACCAACAACCACAAACCCACCACAACAAUGACCCACCACCAACAAUCAUCAUCACCAACCACCAACCACAAACAAUCACCACCACCACCAACCACCACCAACAAUCACGAUCACCAACAACCACAACAAUCACCACCACCAACAAUCACCACCACCAACCACAAACAAUCACCACCACCAACAACAACCAAUUACCACCAGCAACAACCAACCACCACCACCACCCGACCAACAACAACCAACAACCACCACAACAACGACCAACCACCAACAAUCACCACCACCAACAACCACCAACCACAAACAAUCACCACCAACCAACCAACCACCACCAACAACAACAACAACCACCACCAACCACAACCACCAACAACAACCACCACCAACAACAACCACCACCACCACAACAACAACAACCACCACCAACAACAACAACCACCACAACCACCAACACCACCACCAACAACAACAACCACCAACAACAACAACCACAACCCACCACCAACAACCACAACCCACCACCAACAACAACCAACCACCACCAACAACCAACAACCACCAACCACCACCCACCACAACAAUGACCCACCACCAACAAUCACCAUCACCAACCACCAACAAUCACCACCACCACCAACAAUCACGACCACCAACAACCACAACAAUCACCACCACCAACAAUCACCACCACCAACCACAAACAAUCACCACCACCACAACAACCAAUUACCACCAGCAACAACCACCACCACCACCACCAACAACAACCACCACCACAACAACACCC